rnacentral:rRNA from 1 species
AACGAACGCUGGCGGCAUGCCUAACACAUGCAAGUCGAACGAGACCUUCGGGUCUAGUGGCGCACGGGUGCGUAACGCGUGGGAACCUGCCCUUAGGUUCGGAAUAACUCCCCGAAAGGGGUGCUAAUACCGGAUAAUGUCUUCGGACCAAAGAUUUAUCGCCUUUGGAUGGGCCCGCGUUGGAUUAGCUAGUUGGUAGGGUAAAAGCCUACCAAGGCGACGAUCCAUAGCUGGUCUGAGAGGAUGAUCAGCCACACUGGGACUGAGACACGGCCCAGACUCCUACGGGAGGCAGCAGUGGGGAAUAUUGGACAAUGGGCGAAAGCCUGAUCCAGCAAUGCCGCGUGAGUGAUGAAGGCCUUAGGGUUGUAAAGCUCUUUUACCCGGGAUGAUAAUGACAGUACCGUGAGAAUAAGCGCCGGCUAACUCCGUG